rnacentral:misc_RNA from 1 species
GUGUGGGGCGCGGUGCAGGUGGAUAGCUGCCCGUGCUCGUAGAUCUGUGGUCGGGAGACGGCCGAUUUUUCCAUUGUGUGGCGGUAGUGAGGAUAAGUGUUGGCUCGCGCGCGGCUGCUGUUCCGGAGAGGAUAUGUCGUCCAAAUACAUCCUGCCCAACAACCAGCCGUUCUCGCGGCUCGACUGUGAUGUGGCCUUCGGCGGACUGACGUCCAAGCAGAAGUUAUACGCGCAUCACAUCGCGCAGGCCUCCUGGAAGGGCAGCCUGAUCGUGCUGCUUCAGACGUCUCCGGAGUCUCCACUGGCGUUUGUCCUGCUCCACCGAGUGUUCCGUCAACAGACCUGUGAUGAACUGAAGGCGGUGGCGCUGGAAAAGUGCGGCUUCACCGAGGAUGACUGGAAGGCGUUCCUGGUGUACAGCAGCUCUAUCUACUCCGAUAUGGGCAACUACCGCGACUUCGGCGACACUAAGAAGGUGCCAGGGGUGGCUCAGGAGAAGUUUGCCGCUCUGGUGCGCGCCUCGCGGGCCUACGAGACCGACAGCAAGGCCAUGGAACGACUAUUGGACGGCUGCCUGGCGCGACUCUACACACUGAACGACAGCGUGGCGCAGCUCGGUCUCGGGGACAAGGGAGUAACUACGUACUUCUCCGCCAACUGCACCGAGGAAGACGCCGAGAAGGUCAAACAGUACAUGAAGCACAAAAACCUGGAGCCCUACAACAACCGACUAUUCAAGACGGUCGUCAAUGGUGUUAACCAUUACGAGAUUCGGUUGGCGUCUGUGCUUAGCGACAGUGACCCGGCGCUCACCAGCGGCCCCGAGGAGUUCCAGGGGGCCAAGUUCAGCGUCACGCGCGGCGACUACUCGCCGCUACUCGCCAUGGUCGUGGAGGAACUCAAGGAGGCACGAAAGCACGCGGCCAACCCCGAGGAGGAAGGUAUGCUCUCCGAGUACAUCAAGAGCUUCACCAGUGGCUCUCUGGCGGCGCACAAGGACGGCAGUCGGCACUGGAUCAAAAACAAGGGACCGGCCGUCGAAACCUACAUCGGCUUCAUCGAGACGUACCGCGACCCGACCGGCAUGCGCGCCGAGUGGGAGGGUUUCGCCGCCAUGGUGAACGGUCCGAUGAGCGAGAAGUUCGGCCGGUUGGUGAAUGCCGCCGAGACCAUCCUGCCCCGUCUGCCCUGGCCAGAGACGUACGAGAAGGACCGUUUCCUGAAGCCGGACUUCACCAGUCUGGACGUGCUGGCGUUCGCGGGGAGCGGCGUGCCGGCCGGCAUCAACAUUCCAAACUACGACGAGAUUCGCCAGGAGGAGGGCUUCAAGAACGUCUCGCUGGGGAACGUCAUCAUGGCGGCGUACUCGGCAGCCGUGCUGCCCUUCCUGGGCACAGAGGACGCAGAGCUGAUGCGACAGUACCGCACACAGGCCUUCGAGGUCCAGGUCGGCCUGCACGAGCUGUUUGGCCACGGCAGCGGUAAGCUGUUUCAGAAGGACAAGGAUGGCAAACUCAACUACGACGCGGCUGUGGUGAAACACACUGAGACCAAUGAACCGAUCUCGAGCUGCUACUCGCCGGGCGAGACGUACGACAGUAUGUUUACCGACCUGGGCUCGUCAUACGAGGAGUGUCGCGCAGAGUGUGUCGGACUGUACCUCUCCCUAGAGGAGGAUGUCAUGGACAUCUUUUCGGUGGCCGAGUCGCUGCGGCCCACGCUCGUCUACGUCAACUGGCUCAGCCUGCUCUACAACGGGCUGGCCAAGGCGCUCGAGAUGUACUCCACAGAGACCAAAAAGUUCAUGCAGGUAGGCAGGCCGGGUCAGGUCGGGCCGGCCGGUGGGAGGGCGGGGCCCCUGGUCCCCGGUGCGGCGCGGUGACUGGCCCCGUCUGCAGGCUGUUUGACUGUCCGGGCGAACACGGACGGCUGGUGACAUACGUCAACUGGGUGGAUAACCUGUGGGACGGCUUCGCCAAGUGUCUGGAACAGUACGAUACGGCCACUGGACGGUUCAUGCAGGCACACAGCAGAGCGCGGUACGUGAUCCUGCGGGUUCUGCUGGAGCACGGCGAGGGCGUCGUUGACAUCAAAGAGGUCAAGGACGCCGACGGCAAGCCCGACCUGCUGAUGACCGUAGACAAGGAGAAGAUCUACACCUCCGGCAAAAAGGCCAUCGGCGACUUCCUGCGCAAACUCCAGGUGUACAAGGCGACGGCGGACGUUCCGGCGGCGCGCGCCAUGUUUGACCACUACUCGGAGGUGCCAGAGAGCGGGCCGCACCCGUUCGCCAACUGGAUACCCAUCAUCCUGGAGAAGAAGCAGCCGCGCCGGUUCCUCGUGCAGGCGCACACAGAGCUCAAAGGGGAGGACGUGGCGCUGCACCAGUACGAGCCGUCAGCCGAGGGUCUGAUCCAGUCGUUUGUGGCGCGCUUCCCGGACCCUGUGAUCGAGGACCGGCUGUUGGAGCUCCACCAGAAGGACGCCGCCCACUUCCCCUGAACGGCCACAUCCUCUCCGACCCGCCGCCGCCGCCCCCGUCCGCUGUGAUGACCGUCCAAUACACGGUCAGUCCAAUCAGA